UUGUGCCUACGGGAGGCAGCAGUGAGGAAUAUUGGUCAAUGGGCGGGAGCCUGAACCAGCCAAGUCGCGUGAAGGAAGAAGGUACUUAGUAUUGUAAACUUCUUUUGUCGGGGAAUAAAGGCGGAGACGCGUCUCCGGAUGAGUGUACCCGAAGAAAAAGCAUCGGCUAACUCCGUGCCAGCAGCCGCGGUAAUACGGAGGAUGCGAGCGUUAUCCGGAUUUAUUGGGUUUAAAGGGUGCGCAGGCGGCGAGUUAAGUCAGCGGUAAAAUUUCGGGGCUCAACCCCGACGAGCCGUUGAAACUGG
rnacentral:rRNA from 1 species